ensembl:antisense Tnfsf13os tumor necrosis factor (ligand) superfamily, member 13, opposite strand
AACUGGAACAAGAUGCAGGACUGAGUGCUUCUCUAAGGAAAGAAGGAGGAAACAGCAGUGUUGACCUGCCCUGGAGUCCACCCUCACCUCAGCUCUGCUCCGCAUCCCUCGUGCUCCUGGGUCACCGCCAACCGCACUGAAACCCCAGGGCUCACUCACUCUUGUGCUUCUGGGCAUGUCCAACCUGCAGCCAUCAGAGGGCCCCAUGCAUCUCAGGGUGCUAUGGACAUGGCCCAAUGUAUCUGCAGAGGACAUCAUGUCACAGUAUCAGAAGAUCAGGUACCCCACAUGUAUAGAGCGCUUUUCCACCCCCACCUCACUGAAACUCUUUAACAACCUUCCGCCUCAUCAGACUCUUGGGAAAGCCUGGCCUUGCAUGGGUCCUGAGCCUGCCUCUACCACACAAUUAAGCUUUGAGGCCUACUAAGGCCUAAAUGCUACUACCAGGGGCAAGGAGUCCCUGACUCCACUGUAAAAUCGUCUUCCUGUGUGGUGCCAUGUAUCUUGGGCUACCUUACCAUCAUUCUUGUCAUCUACCACUGUAAUUACACAUUUACAGACUGCC